GCAAUCAGCGUCAGUAACAACGUAAUUAAUUACAACUUUCAACAACGGAUCUCUUGGUUCUGGCAUCGAUGAAGAACGCAGCGAAAUGCGAUACGUAGUGUGAAUUGCAGAAUUCAGUGAAUCAUCGAAUCUUUGAACGCACAUUGCGCCCUUUGGUAUUCCAAAGGGCAUGCCUGUUCGAGCGUCAUUUGUACCCUCAAGCUUUGCUUGGUGUUGGGCGUCUUUUGUCUCCAGUUCGCUGGAGACUCGCCUUAAAGUCAUUGGCA
rnacentral:rRNA from 1 species